GUAGUCUCGCACAGAUGCAUAUCAAUAAGCGGAGGAAAAGAAACUAACAAGGAUUCCCCUAGUAACGGCGAGUGAAGCGGGAAGAGCUCAAGUUUGAAAUCUUAAAGGGUCUCCCUUUACGAAUUGUAGUUUAAAGAAGUGUUUUCUGUUGAGGUUUUGGUAAAAGUUCUUUGGAAUAGGACAUCAUAGAGGGUGAGAAUCCCGUAUUUGACCUUUACUUUCAACUUUGUGAUACACUUUCAAAGAGUCGGAUUGUUUGGGAAUGCAGUCCAAAAUGGGUGGUAAAUUUCAUCUAAAGCUAAAUAUUGGCGAGAGACCGAUAGCGAACAAGUACCGUGAGGGAAAGAUGAAAAGAACUUUGAAAAGAGAGUUAAACAGUACGUGAAAUUGUCAAAAGGGAAGCGUUUGACACCAGUGUUGUUUUUCUGAAAAUCAAUUAAAGAACUGUUUAUGCUAAGUUGUUUAGACUUUAUCAGCUAACUGUUUAGUUUUGAGCUUUUCUUUAAUGCACUUUUCAGUUAACAAGUCAACAUCAAUUUCUUUUGCUGUAAAAAAGCUUGAGGAAGGUGGCUUGAGAUUCGUCUUAAGUGUUUAUAGCCUCUUGCCUAUGCAGUCGGAGAGAUUGAGGUCUGCAGCGUAGAUCCUUCGGGGCUAAAUGCAUUUGUGCUAAGUUAUAGCAUUUUAUAGACAACUUGUUGACUAUGAUUUGUCUUGUAGCUUACUCGCUUAUGUUAUUUUACCUACGCUUAGGAUGUUGACGCAUGAGAUAUACGC
rnacentral:rRNA from 1 species